GACGAACCGUGCGAACGUUGUUCGGAAUCACUGGGCUUAAAGGGCGCGUAGGCGGGCUGACAAGUCUGGGGUGAAAUACCACGGCUCAACCGUGGAACUGCCUCAGAUACUGUCGGCCUCGAGGGAGGUAGGGGCGUGCGGAACUGUAGGUGGAGCGGUGAAAUGCGUUGAUAUCUACAGGAACUCCGGUGGCGAAAGCGGCGCGCUGGACCUCUUCUGACGCUGAGGCGCGAAAGCUAGGGGAGCAAAUGGG
rnacentral:rRNA from 1 species